rnacentral:rRNA from 1 species
AGCGAACGCUGGCGGCAGGCCUAACACAUGCAAGUCGAACGAACCUUUCGGGGUUAGUGGCGGACGGGUGAGUAACACGUGGGAACGUGCCUUUAGGUUCGGAAUAACUCAGGGAAACUUGUGCUAAUACCGAAUGUGCCCUUCGGGGGAAAGAUUAAUCGCCUUUAGAGCGGCCCGCGUCUGAUUAGCUAGUUGGUUGAGGUAAUGGCUCACCAAGGCGACGAUCAGUAGCUGGUCUGAGAGGAUGAUCAGACACAUUGGGACUGAGACACGGCCCAAACUCCUACGGGAGGCAGGAGUGGGGAAUCUUGCGAAAUGGGCGAAAGCCUGACGCAGCCAUGCCGCGUGAAUGAUGAAGGUCUUAGGAUUGUAAAAUUCUUUCACCGGGGACGAUAAUGACGGUACCCGGAGAAGAAGCCCCGGCUAACUUCGUG